UACGUAGGGUGCGAGCGUUAAUCGGAAUUACUGGGCGUAAAGCGUGCGCAGGCGGUUCGCCAAGUCAGGUGUGAAAUCCCCGGGCUUAACCUGGGAAUUGCAGUCGAUACUACUCAGCUAGAGUAUGGGAGAGGGCAGUGGAAUUCCCGGUGUAGCGGUGAAAUGCGUAGAUAUCGGGAGGAACAUCAGUGGCGAAGGCGGCUGCCUGGCCCAAUACUGACACUCAGGUGCGACAGCGUGGGGAGCAAACAGG
rnacentral:rRNA from 1 species